rnacentral:rRNA from 1 species
UACGUAGGGUGCAAGCGUUGUCCGGAAUUAUUGGGCGUAAAGAGCGUGUAGGCGGUCCGGUAAGUCAGCUGUGAAAGUCAAGGGCUCAACCCUUGAAUGCCGGUUGAUACUGUCGGGCUAGAGUCCGGAAGAGGCGAGUGGAAUUCCUGGUGUAGCGGUGAAAUGCGCAGAUAUCAGGAGGAACACCAAUGGCGAAGGCAGCUCGCUGGGACGGUACUGACGCUGAGACGCGAAAGCGUGGGGAGCAAACAGG